UAUACUAAUCAACUCACCCUGCGCGUAGUGUGAUAACGUUAUCAGUUUCAUCUGUGUGUGUGAUAUAUAUUCGCUGAACCGAGCUAUCAUGAGCUAUAAGACGGCGUGAUGUGAUAAAACAUGGUGGUCGAAACAGUUCUAUCCAGAACAAGGGGGAAGUGCGCUAAAGGAAGUAUUAUAUCAUUUUGUCGAACUAAAUUUCGGCCAAAUGAUCGUUUACAUGGUUGCUCUUCGCUUAGUUCCCCCUGCCCCUGGUUCUAGGUAGAAAAUUAUCGACCCACCAGAAUAUGAUAUUUCUGCUGUGAUGGACUUCAAGGUCUGAAAGCUCAUAGGAGCUUGAUCCUUUUGUUGCCAUUACUAUGCAUGGAACAUACUGUGGACCUAACUUAGCGUUGAAGAUUUUGUUCGCUGAAGAUUGACCAAAUGCCCGUUUGAAAACUCUCUGGCCAACUGUGAAUGUUGGUAUGCUAGACACAUUGGCUGCAAGCAUGGCAAUUCUACAGUCUUCGCGUGUAUUUCGAAACAAGACAUCAAAUUUUCGUUUUUCUUCCCAUGGUGACGAAAGACUACGGAACAUCCGGACCAUAUCUAAGUAAUAAUCUUGGAAUUUCUCUCUGACACCUUGCUUCCUGCUAUUGAUUUGUCGUUCAUACACAUAAUCAAUGUCAACUGGUAAGAAUUCGUUCUUUAACUCUGAUACUAAAUUAUCCCAGUUCUCCAUUUCAUCCUCGCCGUUCACUUCCAUAAACCACGAUCUUGCUUUAUGCGUGAACAAAUGGUGAGCACUUCUAAACAACUCGAUUUUGGAAAAACCCUCCGACCGUCUAUUAAAUUCUACCUCCUUCAAGAAUUCGUUAAGCCUUCUACCAUUAUCCAUCCCAUCGUAACGUGUUGCCCAUUUAUGA